GCGCGAAAACUUUACAAUGCGGGACACCGCGAUAAGGGGACCCCGAGUGCCAGCACCUAGUGCUGGCUGUCCAGCUGUUCAAAAACAGUUGUUAGCAAGGGCCGGGCAAGACCGGUGCCAGCCGCCGCGGUAACACCGGCGGCCCGAGUGGUAGCCGUUAUUAUUGGGUUUAAAGGGUCCGUAGCCGGCCUAUUAAGUCUCUUGGGAAAUCUGGCGACUCAAUCGUCAGGCGUUCAAGAGAUACUGGUAGGCUUGGGACCGGGAGAGGUGGGAGGUACUCCAGGGGUAGGGGUGAAAUCUCGUAAUCCUUGGGGGACCACCGAUGGCGAAGGCAUCCCACCAGAACGGGUCCGACGGUGAGGGACGAAAGCUGGGGGCACGAACCGGAUUAGAUACCCGGGUAGUCCCAGCUGUAAACGAUGCUCGCUAGGUGUCAGGUGCGGUGCGACCGCAUCUGGUGCCGUAGUGAAAACUUGAAGCGAGUCACCUGGGAAGUACGGUCGCAAGGCUGAAACUUAAAGGAAAUUGGCGGGGGGCGACGUACAACGGUAGGUAGGCGUCG
rnacentral:rRNA from 1 species